GUGGAGUAUUGGGUGCUUGCCCCUCUUCUAUCUCCUUCAAUCUGAUUUUGGCUGUACAUUCUUCCCAGCACUGCUCCUGGCCAGAGUUCAUGCAUGGGAAGAAGUUGCUGCUCGUGACAUGUACUGUGUUGGUUAACUCUCAGCAUCAUGAGCUCUGUGCUCCCUCUCAGAGCUCAUGUACCUCCCUGUACCUUUUCCUUCUCCUCUCCUAGCUUGAUGCCCAUCCUCAGCUGCCUCUGAUGCAGGGUGUCACCCUUGCCUAACUGUAUCUUGGAGCUCAGCUAAGAGGGUGCAUCUGAUGGGUCCUUUUGAAAGGUGAUGCUCAGAAGUGUUCAGAAGUGGAGGGAUCCUGACAGUGAGGAACCACCACUGCAGGUUGUUGAUGUGGCCAGGGCAGCAUUUGGAUUUUGCAGGUGGAGUUUGCCGUGGGAUCUGCUGUGUUCAGAGAGGCUCAGCAUCAAACCCCUCUUGUACUGCAACCCACAACUUGCUGUGGGCUUGUGGGAGCCAAAGGUGCCCUGGGGUGAGGCAGCAUCAGCCGAGUUUUUCCACGGGCAAAGGAUGCUAUAGGGUGAGUGAGCGACAAGCUGGAUUGGGCAUUUUGCGGGUCAGCAUUGUGUCCCAUGGGCUGUAGGCUGGGCAUGGAUGUCCGGGUAGCUGGGCUGAGCAGGGUUUUGCAGGGUCCAGUUUCAGGACCCUGUAGGGGUCCCAGACAGCAACUGGCUGCUGCCACUCAGCUCACCCGGCUGCUUUUUGGUAAAGAUGUGGGAGGAGGAUGAGUUUUUGAAAUCACUUUGUGUAGGCUCAUAGAAUUGCUUCUGCUUAUUUAUGUACUCACAGUUCCUGUCUCUGGGUGGUUCUUACAACUCCAGAGGCCAGUACUUUUUCCUCCUCUAAAUUAAAGCGUUGUUGUGGCAACAUGUUGUCUGUAAGUGUCUGCAGGCCCUCCGUUGCUCUCAGUGUUGUGCACU
rnacentral:lncRNA from 1 species